rnacentral:rRNA from 1 species
CAGUCGCCGCGGUAAUACGGAGGGUGCAAGCGUUAAUCGGAAUUACUGGGCGUAAAGCGCACGCAGGCGGUCUGACAAGUCAGAUGUGAAAUCCCCGGGCUUAACCUGGGAACUGCAUUUGAAACUGUCAGGCUGGAGUCUUGUAGAGGGGGGUAGAAUUCCAGGUGUAGCGGUGAAAUGCGUAGAGAUCUGGAGGAAUACCGGUGGCGAAGGCGGCCCCCUGGACAAAGACUGACGCUCAGGUGCGAAAGCGUGGGGAGCAAACAGGAUUAGAUACCCCAGUAGUCCUGUCUCUUAUACA